rnacentral:rRNA from 1 species
AUUGAACGCUGGCGGCAGGCUUAACACAGGCAAGUCGAGCGGAGGUGAGGUGCUUGCACCUUAUCUUAGCGGCGGACGGGUGAGUAAUGCUUAGGAAUCUGCCUAUUAGUGGGGGACAACAUUCCGAAAGGAAUGCUAAUACCGCAUACGUCCUACGGGAGAAAGCAGGGGGUCUUCGGACCUUGCGCUAAUAGAUGAGCCUAAGUCGGAUUAGCUAGUUGGUGGGGUAAAGGCCUACCAAGGCGACGAUCUGUAGCGGGUCUGAGAGGAUGGUCCGCCACACUGGGACUGAGACACGGCCCAGACUCCUACGGGAGGCAGCAGUGGGGAAUAUUGGACAAUGGGGGGAACCCUGAUCCAGCCAUGCCGCGUGUGUGAAGAAGGCCUUAUGGUUGUAAAGCACUUUAAGCGAGGAGGAGGCUACUGAGACUAAUACUCUUGGAUAGUGGACGUUACUCGCAGAAUAAGCACCGGCUAACUCUGUGCCAGCCGCCGCAGUAAAAC